GGGGCGGUGGCGGCGGCGGAGCCGCCCCAGGGCGGCGAUACCCGGAUCGAGGGGGACGGGCCUCCGCCACAGACGCCGGCCCGGUGAAGGGCUGCUGCUGGGCAGGGCGGGGCCAGGCCAGGGCCGGGCCGGACCGGACCGGACCAGGCCAGGCCUGCCGUGCCCUGCCCAGCUAGCCUGGCAGCCCCAGAGCGGCCAGACCCGCGGCGUCCGGCUGUGAGCCCGGGUGGGCCGCAUCUCUGGGAAUCCCACCGGACGGUGCUGCUGCGGGGCGCCUCUAGCAGCUGCUGCAGACUUUUCUCCAGCCCUAGAGAAACAGUAUUUCCACUGUCUUAGUGGACACCUGAAGCUGCAAAAUCCUGGAGAACCCCUGCCCAGCUCCCAGGAGGAGGAGCAGUCCUGGCACAAGAGCUUCAUUGCCAUUUUAGCCAUCUAAGGGCCCAAAGCUGGUUUGACCCAAGACCAUUCUAUAGUGCCUAAAGUCAUGGAGCAACUUGCGGUUAACAGGGUGCAGGAGGUAUUGCCUGUGUCCCACCUGAGACAUCACUUUUAACGGUGAUACUCACAAGACUCUUCUUUCUCCUUAUGACUAUUUAUUUCUGCAUCUGCCUCCCAUGCCUCUUAUUUCUGGCCUUGAAUGGAAGAAGGAUCAUCACAGACAACCUGCUGUGCCCACUUGUCCUCCUGAAGGCUCCCGGGGGGUGCCCGUGCACAACAUCCUGCCAGAAUUUAAAAGCAUAAAACCCAUGGUCUUCUAUGUGAGGGUUCAAGGAAACCAUUAAGGAAACAGCUAUAUCUGUGCAAAGAAAGAAACUGCUUUUCAACCAUCGGAAUUUUCCUCAGCCAUAUCACUCAGAAACAAAGGAACACAACGUCAUUCUUAAAAAAAUCCUACUUACCUUUAAAAAGUGAACAAAAUGCUGUUAAAAAAAAGGUACUUGAAACAGGUAGCAAGAAAUCAAGAAUUCUCUGUUUUACUGUAAAUUAGUAAUGUAAAUCAGCCUGAUGUCUAUUUAUCUUCAAAGACUUCCUUUAAAAUAACUACGGCUGCUAACUAGUUCUCUACUAAGAAUCUGAGGAUGAAACUAGCCUUACCUGAGACCAAACUACAACCUGAAGGAAAGGCAGAAAUUUAAGAUGGAAAAACAAAUACAGUUUCAGUAUUCUGUAGUUUCCCUAGUUACAAAAAAAAAAGUAUAAUCUGUUCAUAUGUUUUCAGUUUGAGGUUUUUAAACUGAGGAUGGUAAUAUGUUCAAUUUUAUGGAAACUUUAAUAAAAUAUUAUUAUUUUAAAGAACAAAUUUCACUAUGAGCAAUUGUUGUGAGUUAUGUAAUCCAUCGGUGUUUUAAAAUGGAACAGGACUACAUGAAUCUCCAUGCUGAUGGUAUUUCACAUGUUCAGGAACAGCAAUAAAAAUUUGUUGGAAAACCUUUA